UGGCAAAGUUGAGCAUAUAAAUUAUCUAUAUGUGCUGACUCCAAGUCUCUCAACCAUAGAGGUCGCGCGACAUAUGAGAUUAACAUUGUUGGCGCCUGCUCAAAUCUAGCAUACAAUGUUUAGCUAAUGGAGAGAAAAAUUAAAAGGUAUGGUACACAUCCAUGGAAUCUCUCAUCUAUGCAGUGAGUUUAAUUUCAAGGAAAAGAACUGCAUCUGUACUGUACAGAAUUAUGGUUAGAUACAUGGAAAAGAAUAUCAAACGUAAGGUGCAGAACUACGGGUGAACCACCAAUUGUAUUCAUUAGCACUAUUCAUUAGUGGUUCACAGUUUACAAGUUUGUAUUUGCUUUCUUCGUAAAAUGUUGUCCAGUGUUCCUCAACCUACACCUGUAAGUUACACAAGGUAACAUAAAGAUGGAAGCAAAUACCAACGAUCCAAAACAAAACAAAAUUUGACUGAGCCGGGAAACCCAAGUAAGAGUUCUGAAUGCCGUUUUGGGUUUGGUUAUUUUAUAUUGCAGUGACGGAUUUUCAGUGAGCUUGAUUUGGCAAAUUUAAGUAAAUAUCUUGAAAUGGUGGUAUUAGCUUUUGUACAUACUGGUGGUGCAUGCGGAAGAGAGCAGCUAAUUGGUAAAGGUCCGCGAAAGGAGUUUCUCUGGUGGUAGAUAUCAUGUCGUGUAGCUGGUGAUCGGUGUAUAAGAAAAGGUGAGAAGAAAUUGCUAGCUUCUGGUAGGGUAUUGUGUAUGGACGGGUAAGAUUAUCUGAGAACUUGCGAGCUUUUGGUUUU